GGGAUCGUAAGACCUUGCACUAUUGGAGCGGCCGAUAUCGGAUUAGCUAGUUGGUGGGGUAACGGCUCACCAAGGCGACGAUCCGUAGCUGGUUUGAGAGGACGACCAGCCACACUGGGACUGAGACACGGCCCAGACUCCUACGGGAGGCAGCAGUGGGGAAUUUUGGACAAUGGGGGAAACCCUGAUCCAGCCAUCCCGCGUGUGCGAUGAAGGCCUUCGGGUUGUAAAGCACUUUUGGCAGGAAAGAAACGUCAUGGGUUAAUACCCCGUGAAACUGACGGUACCUGCAGAAUAAGCACCGGCUAACUACGUGCCAGCAGCCGCGGUAAUACGUAGGGUGCAAGCGUUAAUCGGAAUUACUGGGCGUAAAGCGUGCGCAGGCGGUUCGGAAAGAAAGAUGUGAAAUCCCAGAGCUUAACUUUGGAACUGCAUUUUUAACUACCGGGCUAGAGUGUGUCAGAGGGAGGUGGAAUUCCGCGUGUAGCAGUGAAAUGCGUAGAUAUGCGGAGGAACACCGAUGGCGAAGGCAGCCUCCUGGG
rnacentral:rRNA from 1 species